rnacentral:tRNA from 1 species
GCCUGGGUGGCUCAGUCCAGUAAGCGUCUGACUUCGACUCAGAUCAUGAUCUCACAGCUCGUGAGUUCAAGCCCCACGUCGGGCU